rnacentral:rRNA from 1 species
AAGAAAGUAAAUAAGGGCACACGGGGGAUGCCUAGGCUCCCAGAGGCGAAGAAGGACGCGACAAGCUGCGAUAAGCCGCGGGGAUCGGCACAUACGACUUGAUCCGCGGGUUUCCG